rnacentral:rRNA from 1 species
AUUAGGUGAAGUCAAUGAUCCCAUGCUGCCAAGAAAAGCCUCUAGCGAGCUUCGAGCGGCCCGUACCCCAAACCGACACAGGUGGUCAGGUAGAGAAUACCGAGGCGAUCGGGCGAACUGUGGUUAAGGAACUCGGCAAAUUACCCCCGUAACUUCGGGAGAAGGGGGGCCACAGACUGUCAUACCCCACGCGGGUGGCAGCAGUAGGUGGCCGCAGAGACCAGGGGGAAGCGACUGUUUACUAAAAACACAGGUCCGUGCGAAGUCGUAAGACGAUGUAUACGGACUGACGCCUGCCCGGUGCUGGAACGUUAAGGGGACCGGUUAGUCCGCAAGGGCGAAGCUGAGAACUUAAGCGCCAGUAAACGGCGGUGGUAACUAUAACCAUCCUAAGGUAGCGAAAUUCCUUGUCGGGUAAGUUCCGACCUGCACGAAUGGCGUAACGACUUCCCUACUGUCUCAACCACAGGCCCGGCGAAAUUGCACUACGAGUAAAGAUGCUCGUUACGCGCGGAAGGACGGAAAGACCCCGGGACCUUCACUAUAGCUUGACAUUGGUAUCCGAAUUUAAUUGUGUAGGAUAGGUGGGAGGCUUUGAUCCGCGGACGCCAGUCCGUCGGGGAGCCAACGUUGAAAUACCACUCUGUUGACUUUGGGUAUCUAACUUCGGACCGUGAUCCGGUUCAGGGACAGUGUCUGGUGGGUAGUUUAACUGGGGCGGUUGCCUCCUAAAAUGUAACGGAGGCGCCCAAAGGUUCCCUCAGCCUGGUUGGCAAUCAGGUGUUGAGUGCAAGUGCACAAGGGAGCUUGACUGUGAGACUGACAGGUCGAGCAGGGACGAAAGUCGGGACUAGUGAUCCGGCACCUGCGAGUGGAAGCGGUGUCGCUCAACGGAUAAAAGGUACCCCGGGGAUAACAGGCUGAUCUUCCCCAAGAGUCCAUAUCGACGGGAUGGUUUGGCACCUCGAUGUCGGCUCGUCGCAUCCUGGGGCUGGAGUAGGUCCCAAGGGUUGGGCUGUUCGCCCAUUAAAGCGGCACGCGAGCUGGGUUUAGAACGUCGUGAGACAGUUCGGUCCCUAUCCUCCGCGCGCGUAGGAGACUUGAGAAGAGCUGUCCCUAGUACGAGAGGACCGGGACGGACGAACCUCUGGUGUGCCAGUUGUCAUGCCAAUGGCACGGCUGGUUAGCUACGUUCGGAAGGGAUAACCGCUGAAAGCAUCUAAGCGGGAAGCUCGCUUCAACAUGAGGUCUCCCACCCCUUAGAGGGUUAAGGCCCCCAGCUAGACCACUGGGUUGAUAGGCCAGAAGUGUAAGCCUGGUAACAGGUUCAGCCGACUGGUACUAAUAGGCCGAGGACUUCACCC